GUAAUAUCAGAUGUUCCUUUUUCGUCUUUAAUCAAAGGACGGUGGGUGAAAACGCCACAUCCACUGAAGUCGCGUGUGGGAGCAGCAUGACCACCACUGUGUCGGGAAAACAUGACGACGCAUUUAAGUAUAAGAUUAUCACUCUUAAAGCAGAGAUCACCUUGCUCAAAGAUGAGUGUGAUUUUUUGAAAAAGGAAAUUGAAAAGAUGAAGUCUGCUGUCCCAUCUGCAAUGGCACAAAGAUAUACUGUUCCUAUAGUGCCACAGCCCUCAGUGCAGCAAGACCAAUGGGACUCCAUCAACUCCUCAACUUCAGAGUCCCCAGUGGAAGUUAAGAAAAAGAAGAGCAAGAAAAGAAAGAAGAAGAAAAGCAAGAGAAGCAAAUAAAAAGGGGGGGGGAUAUAAUGUGUUACUUUGAUGUUUGAGUAUACAGUAUACUUGAGUAUAUUUUUUUUGGAUUAACGUUAAGUAGUUUAGUAAGAAAAGCCAAUAAAUAGCAUUGCCAAUGUUUUUCGAAAUCAGCUGUUUAUAAAAUUGUUUCAGAUUAAAUUUUUAUCAUACUGUGCUUACAUACAGCCAUAUAUAUAAGUUUAAUUUACAACCAACAUAUGUCAAAAUUACCCUGUAACUAUAUUGCACAAGAACAUAUUUUGCCAGAAAUGUGAUAAAAACUUUUAUAUACAACAGACGUACAAUUUUUGCCUGGAAUAUAUUAACAGAAUAGGUACCUGUUAGUUUUAAAAUAAUUACAUUAUAAAUAAUUUGCUUGUAUAUCUGGUUGUACCCCUUUAUUACCCAAAACUUAACAUAUUGUUCCCUUAUACCUACACGGAAGUACACUAUAAUUACAGAAACGUACACCGUAAUUUCAGUUUACUUACGCAGUUCUUUGCAGGUUGUAUAUCUGCUUGUUACCCCUUUAUUACCCAAAACUUAACAUAUUGUUCCCUUAUACCUACACGGAAGUACACUAUAAUUACAGAAACGUACACCGUAAUUUCGCGUUACUUACGCAGUUGUUUGCGGGUCGUAAUAUAAAGUGUUACCAAAGUUAGUGACGUAAUUGUAAGAAGAUUUUCUUCUACAGUUCCUAUCUUUUUUAGUCAGUUAAAUUAAAAAGUAGACUGUUAAGUUUACUGUUUGGCUGACUGCUAGUUGGUCAAACUAGUGCUUAAUACAGUGGCUAGGUUUAUGCUACUGGGCUGGUCUGAUAUAAAUUCCUUUUAUUUGUCACUAAAAGAUGUUAUAUCCACUUACCCACAGAGGCAAGAUAAUGGCAUGUGUUCUGAAUUUCUAUAUUCUGAAUGGCAAAUACUAUAUUCACGAAAUAAUACAUUUACAAAGAGUCACUGCAAGAAUGCUUAUUAUGAACAAAAAAUUAAUUUACAUUUUAUGGAAUAAUUAUUUACAAUAUAACGCCCAUACUAAACAACCUCAAACAUUAUGGAUUUUGUUUUUGGGAAAACAUAAUACUUUUCUUUCCUUGUUGCAUUUAUAAUUAUAAUCUAUAUGUCAUCUUUUGUCUGUUUUUGUAUGUGUGUGUGUGUGUGUUUGUUUUACCUCUGUAGCUAGCCUCCGUUGUUUUCCUGGUCCCAGCGUCCUCGGUCGCUUGUUGGGCUGGUGCUGCUGGUCAGAUGAUGCA